rfam:Oryza glaberrima chromosome 2 Oglab02_unplaced125_1, whole genome shotgun sequence.
UUUAAGUGCAACCAUAAAUUUUUGUGCCUAAUUUUGAUCGUUCGUCUUAUUUAAUUUUUUUAUAAUUAAUAUUUUUAUUGUUAUGAAAAACAUAAAUAGUGCUUUAUACAUGACUUAUGUAAAAUUAAAUAUGAUGAACGGUCAAAGUUGUGUAAAAAAAUUAUGGUUACACUUAAA